rnacentral:lncRNA from 1 species
AUGAACUACACUUGCUUCUGCCAGCACUUCUUUUUCGCUCUGCCUCCCUUCCUUUCCCCACCUUCUUCUUUCUGUCUUCAAUCUGCACUCCAUUGUCCUCCUCUUACUUAUCUCCAGUCAACCCUGCUCACACUUCUUACACUGAAAUGGAAGGAGGGCUUGUGUGGGAAGUUCUUGGUGCACCUGUGCAUGAAGGCAAGGCCUGGCAGGUGUGGCAGUAGCCAGCACCGUGUGGCAGCUGCCCACAUGCUCCUCUGUUCCAGCGCCUUGUCUGUGGUUGUUCUGUGGCCAAGGAAUAGGAACAGCAGAGCACAAGCCUGUGCUUGCUCUGGUAAAGUGUUCAGUGGAUCCCUAAGACCUUCAUGUAGAGUGGUGUCUGGGGCAGGAUCCACCUGCCUUCCAGCAGUUUAUCCACAUAAUACCAUUCAGCUUUACGAAAAACAUUCUAGAGUUACUAUAUAUGUUCACAAGCUCUGCAGCAGACAGAGAUUUCCUAGAGGUUACAGUGUUCUGUUCAUCUGUGAUUCUGGUGAUGGUAUAGUGGGUCACCUCAUGAACUUCAUCGAUUACACCAAAUUAGGAGGAAUUCUUGAUACCCCACAGUGCUGCGCAGCCCCUCAGAUGGUCCUUGACAGAUGUGUGGAAUGCACAGAAAGGAGCAUCCUGAAAAUCAGCAAAGGCAAGUGCAGGAUUUUACGUGAGUGGAAAAAUAACCUGCUGUACCGGCACAGACUGGGGGCUGACCUGCUGGGGAGCAGCACUUCAGAGAAGGACCUGGGGGUCCUGUUGGACAAGAAGUUCCCCAUGGUCCAGCAAUGUGUCCUGGGGGCCAAGAAGCCAGAGGUGUGCUGGGAUGCAUCAGGAAGGGCAUUGCCCGCAGGGCAAGGGAGGUGGAUCCAGGUUAUUCACUGCACAAGUACAAGAGGCCAAGGGCAGAAAAUGAUGCACAAGAUGUUCCACCUGAAUCUAAGGUCAGAGCUUUGCACUGUGAUAGACUGUUUCCCUGGAACAAACAGCCAAAGAAAUUGUAGAGUCUCUUGGGAGAUAUCCCAGAACCAUCUGGAUACAAUUGUGUGCCACAUGAUCUGGGAUAAUUCUGCUUGA